rnacentral:lncRNA from 1 species
AUGUUGAGGUUGCCAUUCAAAUAUCACCGCCUUUAUCCAGGGGAUACCAUACCUUGCAUUUAUGGACUUCCUAAGAUCCACAAGGAAGGGGUCCCACUCAGACCCAUAGUCAGUAGCAUAAACUCAGCCACUUAUAACACUGCAAAACACCUUGCUACCAUCCUGGCACCUCUCGUGGGGAACACCCCACAUCACAUCAAGAACUCCACCGACUUCACCGACAAGGUCCAGAAACUUACCCUGGAUCCAGAUGAAACCAUGGUGUCCUUUGAUGUAGUCUCUCUCUUCACUUGCAUACCCACUACGGAGGCAGUGGAGACUGUCAGAAAACGACUACAAGAAGACAGCUCCUUGGAAGACAGGACCAACUUCACACCCAAUCAGAUUUGCACACUGUUAGACCUCUGCCUUACCACAACAUACUUCAAAUACAACGAAGGCUUCUACAGACAAAAACAUGGCUGUGCCAUGGGCUCCCCUGUGUCACCUAUUGUAGCCAACCUUUACAUGGAGGAAGUGGAAAGAAAGGCUCUUGGCUCUUUUAAAGGGAGAGUACCCAGCCACUGGUACAGAUAUGUGGACGACACCUGGGUCAAAAUCAAGACACAAGAAGUGGAAUCCUUCACUGCGCACAUUAACGCCGUGGAUAAAAACAUCAAGUUCACCAGGGAAGACACUAAGGACAACUGUUUGCCUUUCCUGGACUGCGCUGUGCACAUUGAAGAGAAUGGCAACCUCAACAUUGAAGUUUACCGGAAGCCCACACACACGGACCAGUAUCUCCUCUUUGACUCCCAUCACCCUCUGGAACACAAACUUGGAGUAAUUAGGACCCUACACCACCGGGCAGAACUUGUUCCCUCUAAGCCUGAAGGGAAAAAGAAGGAACACACACAUGUAAAGGAAGCACUGAAAACAUGUGGUUAUCCUAACUGGGCGUUCAUAAAGUCAGCAAAAAGGCACAGAAAAGAAGAUCAGACACCAGCGAGGGAGGAUAAGAAAGACAGACGCAACAACGUUGUCAUCCCCUAUGUAGCCGGUGUAUCAGAGAAACUCAUGACAUCCCAGUGUACUUCAGACCCAGCAACACACUCAGACACAAACUGGUUCACCCGAAAGACAAAACUCCAAAACACAGACUGA